rnacentral:rRNA from 1 species
UACGAAGGGGGCUAGCGUUGCUCGGAAUCGACUGGGCGUAAAGGGUGCGUAGGCGGGUCUUUAAGUCAGGGGUGAAAUCCUGGGAGCUCAACUCCAGAACUGCCUUUGAUACUGAAGAUCUUGAGUUCGGGAGAGGUGAGUGGAACUGCGAGUGUAGAGGUGAAAUUCGUAGAUAUUCGCAAGAACACCAGUGGCGAAGGCGGCUCACUGGCCCGGUACUGACGCUGAGGUGCGAAAGCGUG